rnacentral:rRNA from 1 species
UACGUAGGGGGCAAGCGUUGUCCGGAAUCAUUGGGCGUAAAGAGCGUGUAGGCGGCCCGAUAAGUCCGCUGUGAAAGUCCAGGGCUCAACCCUGGAAUGCCGGUGGAUACUGUCGGGCUCGAGUCCGGAAGAGGUGAGUGGAAUUCCUGGUGUAGCGGUGAAAUGCGCAGAUAUCAGGAGGAACACCAAUGGCGAAGGCAGCUCACUGGUACGGUACUGACGCUGAGACGCGAAAGCGUGGGGAGCAAACAGG